CACGGGGGGAGCAAGCGUUGUUCGGAAUCACUGGGCGUAAAGGGCGUGUAGGCGGUUCGAUAAGUGGGAUGUGAAAUGCCCCGGCUCACCCGGGGACCGGCAUCCCAAACUGCCGAGCUUGAGUAUGGGAGAGGAUGUGGGAAUUCCUGGUGUAGCGGUGAAAUGCGUAGAUAUCAGGAGGAACACCGGUGGCGAAGGCGCACAUCUGGCCCAAUACUGACGCUGAGGCGCGAAAGCUAGGGGAGCGAACAGG
rnacentral:rRNA from 1 species